GAUGAACGCUGGCGGCGUGCCUAAUACAUGCAAGUCGAACGAACAGACGCGGCGCUUGUUCCUUUGUCGUUUGGCGCGGGGGGGGGAGAAACACGUGGAACACCCACCUAUCAGAGUGGGAUAAACUCGGGAAACCGGAGCUUAUCCCGGAUAAUAUCUUGCAACGCCUUGGUCAAUAGUAAAAGACGGCUUUUGUGUCUCUUCUAGAUGGAUCCGCGCCGCAUUAGCUAGUUGGUAAGGUAACGGGUUACCAAGGGAACGAUGCGUAGCCGACCUGAGAGGGUGAUCGGCCACACUGGAACUGAGACACGGUCCAGACUCCUACGGGAGGCAGCAGUAGGGAAUCUUCCGCAAUGGGCGAAAGCCUGACGGAGCAACGCCGCGUGAGUGAUGAAGGUCUUCGGAUCGUAAAACUCUGUUAUUAGGGAAGAACAAAUGUGUAAGUAACUAUGCACGUCUUGACGGUACCUAAUCAGAAAGCCACGGCUAACUACGUG
rnacentral:rRNA from 1 species